ensembl:snRNA U1 U1 spliceosomal RNA
AUACUUACCUGGCAGGGAAGAUACCGUGAUCACGGGGGUGGUUUUCCCAGGGCGAGGCUUGUCCAUUGCACUCAGGAUGUGCUGACCCCUGCGAUUUCCCCAAAUGUGGGAAACUCGACUGCAUAAUUUGUGGUAGUGGGGGACUGCGUUCGCGCUUUCCCCUA